CCUGCAGGGAGAGGGGCCAGAGGACUUGAGCCCCGGGGCGAGGGCCGCCGCCUGCCCACACGCUGCGGCGUGGAACUCGCGCCCGGACCACAGCACGUGACCAAGAGAGGCCAUGGUGCUGGCAGCCCGGACAGAGGCCCGCUGGGGUAGCGACGCCCGUUCUGAAGAGAACUGCGGGUAGGGGUGCCCGGCCGUUCGGCCGUGUGGCUGUGCGCGUCCCAGUGUGGACACUCGAGUGGGGCCGUGCUGGCAGGUGGGCCGAUGGGAGGCCCGAGUGGGGUAUGUGCUCCUGCCCUUGAGAGCCGCUGGUGGGCGGGCGGGCGCCGCCGCAGUGAGGCUCCGGGGCGGGGGUCACCCCCCCACGUGCUCCCAGGAGCCUGUGCUUGGGUCCAGGAAUGUCCCAGCACUCGUGCCAGGAGAGGAGCACGACGCCUGCCUCAGGGCAGAUGGGGACUCCGCACCCCCAACUCAUCAGGGGUCGGGGUGUCUUGGGACAGAGGGCACUUGAGUCCCACCCCAUCGGCACCCCAAAACCUGCGUCACGCACUGGGCUGCCCACCGAGUCGGGGCCCAUCCCUGCCCUCAGGGUGCGGGCUGUCCAGGGGGGGCCAGAGGCAGUGCGAGAGGCGCCCCACACCCACCUGCAUAGGCCGUGCCGGGCCUUUGAGGGGCUGCGGGGGCAGCAGUCCAGCCCAGGGAGGGGUCCCCCGGGGGGGCCUGAGGGGACUGGCCCCGGAAGCAGACAGGAGGUGGGUAGAGGGUGUCCGAGGGCGCAUCCCGAGGCGCCCCUGCGGCGGCACCGGCGUUGUCAGCUCACCCCAAGCUGGGCCCUCGCAGGGCUGCCCCGGGCCUCGGAGGCACGGGGUUGGCUACCCCCAGAGCGAGGGGCUGGGGCCCUAGGGGCUCCUCACCUCCAGUCAGGGCCAUCCCGCGUGCAGAACAGACCACAGGCGGGCCGCAAGCUGGUGCGUCUGCUGGGGCCGGCUGCUCCUGUCCUCUGGUUUCCCCACUGCCGGGGCUGCCAGCGCCCUGUGGCCAGCCCAGCCCAGCCCUGCUGGCCCGAUGCCAUUAACCCUCCCGAGCCCGGCACCCAGUGUCAGCCCCAAAUGCCCAGGAAACGGAUGGCACAGGGGAGAGGCUGGGGGGGCUGCCUUCACACCAAAGCCACCUUCAGGUUUGGCUGGCCCUCUCCCCCUGGGCAGGGGCCCCUCAGGCAGCUGUGGGGGACCUCCCACUCAGCGGACGGCCACGUGGGAGUUAAGUGGGAGAUGGGCCUGGCACGCUGACCACCCCCCUCCUUCCCCCUGCCCAUUUCCUAACAGCCUGGGUGGGGUCUUCAUCAGGCCUCCCUGGGGCCCUGCCCAGCCUCGGCUUCUGGGACCUCAGGGUCAGCUGGUGUCUGGUCACCCCUCCUCCCCCCAUCCUCUUCUAGGAACCCAGGGCAGGGUCCCCGGCCCCCUUGUGUUUGCUUUCCCUAGCACUGCCCUCUCUGGAAGAGUGGAGGGAGGCCUGGCCUUGGGCGCCGGGUCUUGUGGCUGCAGGACCAGCCUCCACCUGCUUUGGGACCCAGGCUGUCCUCCAGAGCUCCUGUGGGGCCCUGACCAGCCCGCUCUGCACAGGAUGGCUGCCCAGAGCCUGGCCUGAGAUCAGUCCCAGGUCAGGCCAGGAAGAAGGUUGACAGCCAGCACAUCCCCUUGCUGCUCAAGCAGGGGGAGCCCUGCGCCCUCUUGUCCACCCAACCUGGGCACAGCGGGCACAGCCAGGGGAGGGGUCCUUGGCAGAGACCGACAGAUGAGGGCGCAGCCAGGCUCCCCUCGAGAGGAGGGGCAGGGCUCUGGGAGCCUUGGGAGACUCUCCAGGGUACCUCCUGGCCAGGGGGCAGGUCCGCAGCCCCGCAGAGAGGGCCAGGGGGACCCGCUGCACGCUUCUCCAUUCCCCCACUCCUGCCUCACCCCUGCGUGGCCCACAGCUCCCGGUGCUGGGCGUGGGGACGGCUUUAUCUCUCCCUUUAUUGAGCUUUGAUUGAUUUCCAGGUCGGUUCUCAGCCUCUGUUCUGAGAAAUUAUAGAUCCGCCGGAGAACGUGCACGCCCAGAAAUUGACCGGGUAAACACGCGUUACCGCAGCCCCCGGUGCCGACUCAGCACGUUCCCUCGAGCCCUGCGCAGGGCCAGGGCCGGGAGGGAGGGUGUGCGGAGGGAAGGGCUCUUUCUGUAAACCCGGCUGGGCCCGCAUGGCUGCCCCCAUAGCAACACCCGCACUCCGCCCCCGGGUCCCUCCCUGUCCUGGCCACCGAGGCUCUCCCCGAGGCGUCUGGUUUCAUGUGCUUCUGAUCAUCGUGAAUGGGGGUCCCACACGAGCCCUGGGCCUGGCUUCCGUAUGACACGGGACUCGGGCAGCUCGGACACACAGCCGUCCCCACAUCCUCGCUCACCCACCUGCUGCCCGCGGGGCCCUGUGCCGCAGGCCUGUGGGUCCGCUGUGGACUUGCUGGGACCCAGGUGCGUGUCUUCUUGGCAGGUGAGGCUGGACUUCUGAGCGGUUAGCGGGUCCCCACCUCCUGGCGCCCAGGGGUGCCCUGCCCAGCCCAGCGCCAUCCUGUCUGUUCCCAAGCCCCGAAGGUGAGUGGCUGCUGGCUUUCGUUGCAUGCUUCUCAGACGCCAGUGGGACUGCAGCCCCUGAGGCUCGUCAGCGGGGGACUGUCCUGUCCCGUGAAGGGCAUGUAUGUCUCUUGCUGAUUUCUGGUGAUGGCUCAGUCCGAUCUGUGUUCUUAAAGUCAGUCUGGAUGCACAUCCUUCCUGGGGGGGUGCGUGUGGGCAGUGUGUCCUUCCGUCCUGGGGCUCACCUGGCCGCGCUCUCCGUCGUUUUUGGCAAGAGUUCGUUGGAUCGCCGUUUCCCGAGGCACUCGGCGCCGAGCAGGAGUCCUCAGAACGUGGGGGUUUCUGGGCCACUCUCGCACGUGGACUUUAAUGUGACGCUCUCGAAGCGCCAUGGGGCACGUCGGGGGCUGUGCCCCCCAGCCUCAAGGUGGACAACGUAUUGGUCCCUCGCGGAGACGGCUCCCCCCAAGAGCAGCUUGGCUCCGCGGCCGGGGCCCCGUGUGCGCUCUUCUAGACGGAGCGAGCGGCUCGCCCGCGUCUGGGCCGGAACCAGAGCCCGCGAGAGGCGGGCUGCGCUGAGGUCUGUGCGGAAGGGACCCCCGCACGCCCCACGUCAUCCCCCGCUCUAGCUCUGACCUGGGGUCGCUCAGCACUGCUGCGCGUUUCUGUUCCGAUCGCCCGUGAGGCGUGUCGUUUUCCCGACUGGCCGCUACUUUUUGAUACGUUUCCCUCCUUGGUCUGCCUCAGUUUUGCCGUCUGGGCUUUGAGCUCCCGAAAGGUGCUGCGGAGUGCGACACCCGCCCGGACAAGUCCUCCCCUGCGGCGGCCCAGUCAGCGCGGCGGGGCCUGCCCGCUGGCGUGUCUGCCCGUGGCCGGCCAGCGGGCUUUCUGCGAGCACGUGCAGUGCUGUGGCCCCCCGGGGGGGGGGGUGACAGGGAGGGGCCGCCACUAGCUCCUUCCACCCGCUGAGCUCACCGCCAUAGGGGCGCUUCUGUCCGGGGCUUCCAGGACCUUGUCACGAGCCUUCAGCUACGGCUCUCGGCGCGGACGUGGGUUUCCGGCCUCUUGGGCACAUUCUUCCGGGGGAGCUGCUGGCUCAUGCGUGUUUAGGUGUGACAGUUACAAGUCCCCCCUGCACCCGGCAUGGGGCUCAAGCCCAUCCCCCCCGAGCUGCAGAGCCGCAGGGGCUGAGCCGGCUGCCUGCGUCCCACGGCACACUCCGCAGUGUGAGCGCGCCCUGCGCAUCCGUCCUCGCCUGGCGCCCCGGCUCUCAGCGCCGCCUUCCCGGGGACGCGCUCUCCAAGGCGGGCCGGCUUUUCCCUUGUCUCCUGAGUUCUGAGAGUGGAUUAUCAGGUAUAAUAUUUGGGAGCAUUUUUCCCAGUCUGUGGCUCGGCCGUUUUUUUAAAAAUGGGGCACGUGGGUGGCUCCGUCAGUGAAGCGUCAGACGUUUGAUGCCACCUCGGGUCUCCAUCUCUGGGUUGGGAGUUCAAGCCCGGCCUUGGCCUCCGCACUGGCUAUAGGGCCUACUUCAAGAAAAAAAAAAGGCGAACUGCCUCCUAGAAUGCAGAGGUUGGUUUUGACAAGCUGCCCCGCUGGUUUGGCUUUUCUCUGGCUCAGGCUUUCCACGUGCCUCACACCAGAUGACGGCGAUCUUCCAGUGGAGGGGUGUGGGGCGCCUUCCCGUUGACUUAGAUCUUCACGAAUCUUGAGCUGUUUUCCAUGCGGUACUUUCGGAGGAUCUUUAGUUUGGUGCCGCCGUGGACGGGACCCUCUUCAUUCCGUGAACAGUUGUUCCCAGCACGUGGAAACGGAGUGGAUUUUCUUUUUCCUAAUCUGGUGUCCCAGGACCUGGCAGAAUGAACUUGCCAGCGCUGCGUUUGUAGGUGUCUCUGGGUCUCUAGGAUUAGCUCCUUGGGGGGUCAUCUCAUCGGUGGGGGGUUGCCUCAUCGGUGAGUAAGGAUGUUUCUCCUUUUUCCUUCCCGGCCUGCAGCCGUUUCCGCGGCUUCCUGGUGCCCCACGGCGCGGCCAGCACCAGGCCAAGACCGGCCGCACCUUGCUCCUGGUUUUAGAGUUUCUUAACUAGAAGCCUCUCCUCCUGCUGUGCAGGUGCGUGUCCCGCACACGGUGCUUUCCACGUCCACUUUCUCUGUCCUGCUUCACGCACGGGCAGGUCCUCCCGCAGGGGCCGCGCUG